GUGGCCAUCUUACUGGGCAGCAUUGGAUGGUGUCAGGUCUCUAAUACUGCCUGGUAAUGAUGACGGC
rnacentral:pre_miRNA from 1 species